rnacentral:lncRNA from 1 species
CACCAGCCAAUUGGGUUCAAAAUUGUUUUGAGAUAGGAAAUAUACUUUGUAUAUAUCCUAGCAAAGAUCUCAAAGAGAUAUCUCAGCUUCCAGCCAACAUUAGGAAAGUUGUUAAAGGAUAUACUGAAGUCGUCGAGACAACAAAUAUAUAUAUCAGAUUCCAUUCAUCAACCAUGAAAUGGGAUCCCGUUCUUGAAUAUAUACAUCCAUCGUUUCAUGUGAUAAAAAUGGGACUUACAAAUCAACAUUUUUUACCAACCAAUCAAAAGGUUGUUAAAAAUGGAUAUCAAAAUAUUCUAAAUAUGAUGCCCUACAGAAAAGUAAAAGGGUACAAAGAGAUAUUUGAACAUGUAACUCAGAUAAUUACUGAGAAAGAAAAAAUAUGGGUUUAUCAAUCUGAAGAUCAUAUUAUCUAUUCCAAUGCAAGGAUGGCUACCAAGGAAGAAGAUAUUUGUUAUCUCGACCAUUUAUUAUCUGCAAUUAUUUCCAACCAAGUGCAUGGAUUAGAAGAUAUCGCUAAAGAACUAUGCAAAUUACUCUGGAAUUACAAUGAUCACCAUUGUGAAUACUAUGUAGUUAAAGAUAUGAGCCAAGCAUCUCUUAAUAGUGAAAAAUUCCCUGCAGAAUUCUUUGAUUCGAAAAUGGAAAAGUGACGAUGACAAAAGUAGCCCUUUAUCACUACUUUAAUAAAGAAAUUUAUUAAAGAAAAACUGUGGCUACUAAAAGACAGAAAAUAGUGCAAGAAAAGUCUCCAUAAUUGUGACUACUCCCCACCAAUUGUUACAAGUGGCAGACAAACUCAAAAGAUAAGGCAUCUAAUUUCAAAAGGAGAGGUCCACUUGCAGGGAAGAUAAUGAAAAAAUUCGGUGGAGAUAAGAUGACUUAACUACCCAACAAAGAAAGGUGGAAAACACCUGUCAAGAUAGGGUUCCCAAAGGCUUCUAUAGAAGGAGGCAAGGAGGAAGAAGGAAGAUAUCUCGAAACAAC